GUUUGCCAAGGCACAUUGUAAGAGCUGUAAAGAGAGAGGGACUCGGAGAGAGAACAGGUAGAACCUGAUAUGUAAAUGAGCAGAGCAAACGAAAGCAACUUUCAACGACCGAAUGAUCAUUCAGACUCUGUUUCUAUUGAGAGAUAAAAGGCUGGUUGAAUGAGCUGCCUGUGAAAGCUACUUCAUCUGCAAGAAAACAGGCGGCUGCACCAGUGACUGUCAGAAGUUUUGUGAUUUCCUCAUAUGAACGUGAAAGGGUCCUGUCUCUAAAAUGAGUCUCUCUGGGGAGAGGAAGGAGGGGGACCCUGCCUCUAAAAUGAGUCUCUCUGGGGAACAUGACACCAAAUCUAAGAGUCCAAUCAAGCAGGAGAGACCAGCCUCCCCUGUACCCAGCUGUGUGUCCAUGAAGAGUGACCGGUCUUUGCGUCAACCUAUAGAGUUUAGAGAGGGAGACUUUUCUACUGAACAAAG